rnacentral:piRNA from 1 species
UAAACAUCUGGUAGUUCAGUG